CUCCUCUCCAUCUCCCAUUGCAUUGUGUCUGACUGAUUUUCAGAGCACCUUCGCUGUUUCCCCCUUCUCUUUCCCUUUCUGUAAAAUAUCUAGACAGGAAGGAGGUGGCUGCAGAGGCUGAACAAACAAUCUCAUAUUCUGCCUGCAAUGUCAUCGUUUCUUUCCCCCAUUUUAGGGGGCUGAAGUUGCCCAGGAAGGGGAUGCAGAGGAGCUGGAAAGGAAGGGGGGAGCUCUCCAGUGGCAGCUGCGGUCAGGGGCAGGGACUGCCGCCAGAUGUGCCUGCCUCUCUGGACUUUGAUGCGAAAGGGGCAGCAGGAGGAAAUAUUGGGAGACAAAAGCCCCGGUUUAAAUGAUCAUUUUCUUUAUUUAACAUGGCAGCAGACACUCUGCGUAAGAUCAUCAUGCCGAACAUAAACUGGACUUUCCCACUUGCCUGGCAGGAGUGAGACAGAUCACUGUGUGCUAAAUGAGCAUCUGAGGGUGUGUAAUUCAAGAGGACUGAAAGACUGAUCCCCUGAAGGCCGCAAGUAUAAAAAAGCUACAUGGUCAGCCCUCAGCCAAGG
rnacentral:lncRNA from 1 species